rnacentral:rRNA from 1 species
CUUUAUUGGAGAGUUUGAUCCUGGCUCAGGACGAACGCUGGCGGCGUGCCUAAUACAUGCAAGUCGAGCGGAAUCGAUGGAGUGCUUGCACUCCUGAGAUUUAGCGGCGGACGGGUGAGUAACACGUAGGCAACCUGCCCUCAAGACUGGGAUAACUACCGGAAACGGUAGCUAAUACCGGAUAGGAUAUUUGGCUGCAUGGCCGGAUAUGGAAAGGCGGAGCAAUCUGUCACUUGAGGAUGGGCCUGCGGCGCAUUAGCUAGUUGGUGGGGUAAUGGCCUACCAAGGCGACGAUGCGUAGCCGACCUGAGAGGGUGAACGGCCACACUGGGACUGAGACACGGCCCAGACUCCUACGGGAGGCAGCAGUAGGGAAUCUUCCGCAAUGGACGAAAGUCUGACGGAGCAACGCCGCGUGAG